GACGUCGAUAUUCGACGUCAUAAACACGAUCAACUUUGGUGUUUAUGACGUCGAUAUUCGACGUUAUAAACACGAUCAACUUUGGUGUUUAUGACGUCGAUAUUCGACGUCAUAAACACGAUCAACUUUGGUGUUUAUGACGUCGAUAUUCGACGUCAUAAACACGAUCAACUUUGGUGUUUAUGACGUCGAUAUUCGACGUCAUAAACACGAUCAACGUUGGUGUUUAUGACGUCGAUAUUCGACGUC